ensembl:lncRNA
GCUACAGGAGGGUGAUUAUUUCUCUAAUGUGAUUUGCUUCCUGUUGCUAAAACAGUCCUUUGAAAUGAGGUUGUUUGCUAAGUGAGGCAUCUCCUUCCUCUUUCUCCUGUGGAUGAAUUACAGAGUAAGAAGAAUCAUUCUGAGGCUCCUCACUGUGAUGGACUGAGGAGCCUUAUUUAUUCCCUGUGGAUAGUGGCCUGCCACUGGAGAGCCACAGGCUGGAGUGACAGAGCUGACUCAUGGGGUAGGGAGAAAAUGGCCUGGAUCACUGACAGAGGAAUCAAACUCAGGACCUUGUGCUUGCAAGGCAGGCGGCAGAACUACUGAGCUAAAUUCCCGGCCCACAAUGUUCAUUUUCAUUGCUGUGAUUACAUUACACUGGGGGAAAACAACUGUUGGCAAGGAUGUGGAGAAAAGGGAACCCUUGCACACUGUUUGUGGGAAUGCAAAUUCGCACCACCAUUAUGGAAAACAGCAUGGAGGUUCCUCAAAAAAUUAAAAACAGAGCUAUCGUAUGAUCCAGCUAACCCACUUCUGGGUAAAUAUCCAAGGGAAAUGAAACCAGUAUGUUAAAGAGACAUCUGCUCUUCUGUGUUCAUUGCAACACUAUUCACAAGAGCCAAGAAAUGGAAACAAGAAAUGGAAACAAGCUACGUGUCCGUCACUGGAUGAGUGGUACCGGGGAUCAAACUCAGGACCUUGCACUUGCAAGGCAGGCAGCAGCACCACUGAGCUAAAUCCCCAGCCCUAUUAUACAUUUUUAAAAGUUGCAGAUGGGUGACUGCUGCCUGAUCCUGGGUGAGAGGCAUUUUCUUUGCCAGUUGUCCAAAGAAUGGAAAUUUCCUGCAGUUUCACAGACAUAAUGGAUAUAUGCUGACUUUUUAAAAGCCAUCUGUUACUAGGGGCAAAAAGAAAUAAAAGAGGAAAAUACUUACUUUUAGACUCUCUAAUAUACGUGAAAAAAAAUCUUCCUAAAGAAAUGAGCAAAAAAAAAAAAGAAAGAAAGAAAAGAAAAGAACAACAGUCUUCAUAAAUCUGGAUCCUAGUACUCAUAUUGCAGGUUACCAGGUUCCAAGUGGCAUCUUAAGACCGGGAGGACACAAGGAACAAGGUGCAGCCUAAUCUGAAGAACAAGUUCCUACGGAUGUGGACCUUGAGCAUCAGCUGGGCAGAAUGAAGUGAGACAGAAGCUGUCUCCUCGCUGAGUCUGGCAGCCAAAGAGGCUCAGGGGCCCGGACCCAGGAUGAACCUCAUGGGAAACCUCUUGGACCUCACCUUGCAGAUUCUACCAACUUUGCUACUAGGCUGUAACCUUGAUGAAUGGAAAAGGUUUGACCCUGACAAUUUAAAAAAGGAACAGCUUUAUCUACUAUUGCAACAUGACUUGUGUUCAGUAUGAACUGGGAAAUGGUGAAGGAUGGGUAUGGGGUGGCACUUUAAGUUAUGAGACUAGUCUUUAGUUAUAGUGUUUCUGCUUGAAACAUAAGAGGUGGAAUGAAAAUCCCCUUUGUUCAAGCCUUUGUGACCUUUUGUCACAAGGAAGACCUAGAAACUAUGGUUCUCAGUGUUGGUCUCAGCUGCUGACAUAUUGAACAUUCAGCAGUGGCUGUAACCAGAUCACCCUUUGUGGGUGGAAGUCCAUGUUGCUGAGUUCCUAUGUAACCUUCAUCCGUGCCACCAUGGCCACUUUGUUCAUGAGCCCAUUGAGCAGUGAUGGGGCUGGCUGAAGAAAAAGAUUGACUGUUAUCCACAGAACGGGUCAUCCUAUCCACUGGAUUAUUUAAGUCUUCUUCUGCUGAGAUCACCUUUGGUGAGCAUUUAUGUGGAACACAAAUAUCUUUAUGUUCUUUGUCUAAAUGGAGAGGUCUAGUCAUAUACCUCAUUCCCAAAUAUCUUUGUCACCAGUUUUCUAGUCACGUUCCUUCCAAGUCCCUGACCAUCUGGCCAGACCAUUGGCUACAGCCCAUGAAUCAGUAUAUAGUUGCACAUCUGAUCAUUCUUUUCUUCCUAGAAAAAUGUGCAAUCAGGGGCACUGUCUUAAUCUGUGCCCAGUGUGAAGAUUUCUCUUCACUACUGUUCUUCAGGGAAGUCCUGGAAAUGUGAUAGCUGUCCACUUUCAAGUGGUAGCUUCAUAACAUGCAGAGCCAUUUGUAAACCAGGACCUAGUCUUCUCUUCCUGUGCCAAUUGAUCAUGUGAUAUUCCCCAUGAGGCCGUAGGUAUAUGCUGGACAACAAAAGGCAGUAUAGCAGGAGUAGGAACCAUGGGUUUUUGGGCAACUUCUUCAUGUAAGUUACUUGUACUUUUCAAAACUGUUCAGGGUUGAUUGUGUAUUUACUACUUCCAUUUCAUGGUGGACUGUUGCUGUGCAUGUUUAAGUUUAUGACUUGGAGGGUCAGAUAGUACUAUUUCAUGAUGGGCAGCUCAAGUUGCAUGGUAACCUGGUGUCCUAUGGUCAAGCUUUCAGUUUCCACUAAGGCCUAGUACCAGGCGAGGAGCUGGUUUUCAGCAAGAGUACUUGUCUGCAGAUAAUUGCAGAGCCAUGCUCCAAAAUCCUGAAGUUUGCCACUGUGAUUCACCUAUGGGAGCCUUCCAGAGGCUCCAAAUAGCAUCACUGUUUGCCACCAACAUGUUAAGUACCAUUGGAUUAUGAGUCAGUCAGUAAAUGGGCCAGAAUAACACAGAUGAUUAGCAGAAUUAAAGGGUGUAACACACAGAAAAAGUCCCUUGAAUUUUAACAGUCAAGAAGAGUAUCUCUAGACAUUGAGAAAAACCAUACAGGGAGAAAUGUUAGGGAAAAGAAGGACACAUUUAUUAAAUAUCAACUCAAUGGAGCACUUGGCUCGUUUGUUUGUUUUAAGGUCUUGCCAUUGUUUAAAUGGCUAGCUCUACCCUCUCUCUUUUUUUUUUUGAGAUUGUUUUGUAUUCUGCAACAUCUAUUCUUCUUUUUUUUUCUUUAUUAAAUUCUUUUAUUGGUACACUGUAGGUAUACAACACAAUUACAUUUCUCAUUGGGAAUUGUACCUUUACAUAAUGCAUCUUGGUUCUUAUUUUUCCCCAUUGCUAGCCCUCCCUUCACCCCCUCCUCCCUUCCCUAUUUACAAAGACUUUAGUUCCAUUUUUUCCAUUUCUCAGCAUUUUUCCUUUCCCUUCUUUCCUUUCCCCUGCCCCUCCCACUACCCCUACCCCUUUGGACCUUUGCUUCCUAUUUUGCAUUAUUGAUUAUUCAUUCUAAUCAUUGGUACAUUUUAGGUAUACAAUAGAAUGACAUUCAUCAUUGGAAGUUUGCACCUUUCCAUUGAAAGUCUACCCUCUCUCUUAAGACUUAAGAUUGCAUGUCACUAAGGGGAACAAUUCACAUCUUUGUAAGGAGCAUGGAAAACUCGGUCCUGGGGAUAUACCCACCUUUUCUGGAAUUUUGCAGAGCACUUUCCAUCACUUGUGAUGACCCACUGCUUCUUGCGCCUACAUUCUUACCCAUGUGAAUUCCAUUCUCACCUACUCAAGUCCCAUUUGUCUCUGCCCUCUGACUUUUUUUUGGGGGGGGGGGGUACCAGGGAUCCAACUCAGGCCCUUGCACUUGUGAGGCAGGUGGUGGCACCACGGAGCCAAAUCCCUGGCCCUGCCCUCUGGCUUCUGAUAAGAGAGCUCCCUGUCUACCGUUUUAUUCAUUUGGAACAGAGUUCUUUGGCUUUACUCACCUUUCCUUUUGCUGCAAGCUUAGCCCCAUGGCUAACAGGCCCCUUCCUGUUUCUGUCUGAAAUAGGGAGCAGUCAGGGCUCUCACCAGGGGAGACCACUCAGAUAUAGCCUUAUAGACACAACUGUGUUGAACCUUCAGAGUUUUGGGUAGUGUGCUCUAGAUAGAAGUUAAGUACCAUUCAAAUGAAAAAAGUGAACUGUUGGGGUUGACAUGUAAUUUUGUGGAUCAAGUCAUGCUGAACCUCCUUCAUUUGUUCCCUCUCUGGAUGCACUCAGGCAGAUCUCACCAGAUAAAGGAGGAGACCAAGUCAGACAACAAGGAAAUUAUCCACAUCAAACCCUCUGUUGCGAGUUCAAAAUGGUUGGAUGCAGUGCUUUUCUUAUAGCAGAAGUACUAUGGGGGAGGGGAGUUGCAUGCCUGCAUUGGUGUUUUAUAGCAACUACAUGUGGCCCAGAACUUUGGGAUAUUCCUGUCCUGUCUGCAUUCCAGCCGUGUCAAGAUCUUGCUUCUGUUUUUCAUGAAAAGAGCUCUGUGCUGUUUACAUGAGCUGCAGCUUGACCCGCAGCUGUACAACUUUCUUCUUCUAUUGUCUCAGGUCAAGAUGAAUUACAGACAGAGCCUUGACCAUAAAUAUUUAAUGAUUUUUAUCUUCAAAGCAUUGUGCAAGCACACUUAGUCUUAUUUUGAAGUGCUGAGUAGGCAUCUCCGAUCUUCUUUUAUGACAUAGUUUCUUUUUUAAAUGCUAGUCGCACCCUUUAUUCUGAAUCCUUAAUACAAGGCUGAGUUGUCUUUUUAUAAUAGCUUUAUUAAGAUAUAACUCAUAUAAUCAUAAAAUUUACCCUUUUAAAAUGUAGUGCUCAGUGGUUUUUAGUAUUUUUGGAGUUGUGCAACCAUUGCCACUCUCUGAUCUUAGAAUACUGUCUUCAUCACUCUGAAACGAAAUUGAUUUUCAGUAACUCUCCAUUCUGCCUCCCUCACCCUAUCUGACCUAAAGUACCUGUGGCAGACACUAAUCUAUUUUCUGUCUUUAUACCUAUUCUGAACAGUCUCACAUGUUUCUACUUGCCUUCUUUCUCUGCUACCUGCCUCCAUGAGAAGAGCAUCCCAGGGAUUGUCCACUUAUCCCAGAAGGUGAAUGAAAGACACUUGGAAAUGGAACAGAACUUUUCACCUCAGACAAGAGCAACUGCUUCGCAAAUUACUCAGAGUAGCUUGAACUAAAUAAAUCCUUGCUGUUACAUUCCACUGAGCUCUUGUGACCAUUUGUUAUGCAGUGAUAGCUUACUAAUACAAUGGCCAUUGUUAGCAACUCAGUUUUCCAUCUUAUGUUUUCACCAUCCAAGAGAGAUGGGGACAACUAGUGUCUGGUUCCAGCUAAGGGCUCUGAUUGACCCAUCCCUAAUUAUAAGUUAACAGGUUAGCCUGGCAUAGUUUCAUGGAAGUAAGCCAACAAAAUGUGGCCAUGAAGUGACAUGGAAGUGAAGACAUUAUUGUCACUGUUAUGUGAAGGAGUGGGGACAAUUGCUGAGAAAGGAAGGGGUGCUGGACACAUAGAACAUGCAGUCAUGACCUAGGAGGGACAAUGAGGUGCUACCCAAGCAGAGUGCAACUAUGUUCUUGGCACGUUUUACUUAUGUCUGUUCAGUCAUCAGGGAGAGAGCGAGCGAGCGAGAGAGAGAGAGAGAGAGAGGACCGAAUAAUGGUAAUUUUUCCUGGGAUGAAAGUGAAGUGUGUGUGUGUGUGUGUGUGUGUGUGUGUGUGGCUAUUGGAGAUAAGAAUCUCUGGUUAAAGGGUGGGCAUGGUGGCUCACACGAAUGAUCCCAGCACUGGGGAGGCUGAGGCAGGAGGAUCGCUGCGAGUUUGAGGCCAGCCUGGGCUACACAGUGAGUUCUAGGCCAGCCUGGACUACAUAGUGUGACCCUGUCUCAAAAAACCAAAACCAAAACAAACGAACAACAACAAAUAUCUGCUGUUAACUCGGCCUAAAUUCCAAGUCAUCACUCAAAAGGUUUAAGUCAUUUGCUAUACUGAAUGUGAUUCUAUGUAUUUUUGAACAGCUGUUUAUUUUAAACUAUAUAUAAUAGUAUACAUUGUAUAAUUACUCAUACUUCUUCCUGUAUAAUAUUGCAUUACAAAACCAUAUGUACUAUACUUAAUGGGAAGUUUAAGGAAUUUUCAAGUGCAACUGUCCAUUUCCAUACCUGCAUUAAGAAGCUUUUUCUCAGAAAUUACAUGUGUCUCAGAAGGGUGGAAGACAGGACCUGAGUGAGCAAAUAUUGCUUUUUAUCAUUUGGUGAAACAAAGGCUUAAAGUAGAAAUUAAGUAGAGUUUUGGAAAAAUAUUUUUUAAAUUCAAAUGAGUUUGUGAGUUGAGAUUCACACUACAACUCUACCCUUGUUAGUCUCACAUGUUAUUAUAGAAAAUGCAGUUGAGGUAGAAAGGAAUAUUAGAUGGUAGUGACAAAGAAUGAAUUAGUGCUACACGGAACAGCAGAUGAAUCUUACAAAUAUAAUGUUGAAUGAAAAAGAUUCAUAAGAGCGUUUAGUAUAUGAUCCUGUUUAUAUUAGGUUUCACACCAGGAAAAACUAAUCAAUAAUGUUAGAAAUGUUAGAAUGAGAUAAGGAAACAGAACUUGGGCACUGGCAGGAUACCUGAGACAGUUUUGCAUCCUGGAUUCUCUUCCAGCUGAUUGAGGUCCAUGGGAGACAAGGAUGGAGGUGUCAAAUCAUCCAGAGCAGAACCUGUGUGCCAGUCCCUGGAGACGGUCUAGAAAUUCAGGGGCACUUGGGGACUUGCACACAUCAGAAGAAAUAUCUGAGUAGGUGAGUGUGAGGUAUUGCCACUAAACCCUCUGUGCUGUUCACAGCUGGGUAGGAGCAUCAGAGUAUUCUGGCACAGGUAGCGGUGGCAUGGAUAUGGUCCAGAAGGUUGGCAGCCUUGAAAUGUUUUUGUUUUCUGGGCAAGGAUGGCCCAGCACUGCCCUGCUAGACUCAGUCAUAUUGUGCAGAUGGUGGAUCAGUUGGCCCUGACAAGAUGGCACUUUUAGCCAUCACAGAAUUUUCUGGAGAAGCCAGCUCUUCAUCCUUUCUUUUAGACUUUAAAAUCUUCAUAAAAAUGCUAUGGACCUACAGAGAGUAGUAUAUUUGAGCUCAGGAUUCUAGCAGAAUCAUGGACUUGAAAACAGUCAUGAUUUCUUGCCAUGGAUUACUUCUGCUUCUCCCUGUGUCCUUUCUCUUUGGUAAUGACUGGUUUUUCUCUCCUUCUUAGUCUACAUAGAGGAACAUGCUACCAGCUGGACCAAAGUUUUAAAUGUGAAAAUGCAAAUCCAGGAAAAGAGAUCUAUCCCUCUUCCGAAGCCCAAAGUGAACAUUUUCAAGGGGAUAAGAUUGAUUAGCCUACACUGGGAUGGUGCUCUCUGAAUCGAUAGCUUGUAGCUAGAAGAACAGGAUAAUACUGUACAAACUAUGUGGCUUGAUUUUUUUGACAAGGGGAAGGCAAGAUCUACAAAAGUAGGACAAGUGGUGGGACCAACAAUGUGAGUUCAGGGUGGUCAGUCCUCUUUGGCUUCUUUUCAUGGCUGCUGAGAAAGAAGAUGGAACAGGUUCCCUGAGCCCUCAUCCAAGGAAGUAAGAAUUGAUUACUAGCUUAGCCAUUACUUUACCUUGCUUGCAGACAUGUCCUCCUUUGAACUCUCUUUGUUUUUCUUUAUCUAUCUCCAGCCUGUAGACAAAGAAGCUCUGCUGAGGCUCCCAAGUGAAAGGUGCUGUCCCAUUUUACAAAAGCCUUAGGACCAGUCCUCAGAACACUUUGGUCCUUUGCCAUCCGAGAGCAAGUACACGGAGGUGUCUUGAGGCGUUAAGCGCCAGCUUGCAGAGAUAGUGAGGUAUAUUUUAGAACCCAAACUGCUGUCAGGGAACAUAUGGAUUUUGUUAUUUCCAUCCUAGCAGCUUUCUCUCCAUGGGUUUUGACAUAUGAAUUUCAAAAGGAGGGAGUGUUUUCCUGAUUGACACCUCAGAAAUACUCUUUGUGGCAAAAUCACAAAUAUUUCCAGAUCUUGCUGGGCAUGGAGAUGGCUGAGCUGCUGGAGACAUUCUAUCAGUGUCACUUGACACAGCGUGUGAGGUCAGGCAGGGGUGAACACUGUUGGCUGGACACAAAGGUUGAGCAUUAUCUGCUCUGUGGGGGGACACAUCACACUCAGCCAGCUCAGGAGGGAGACUGACACAUGUGGGUCAUUGCACGGAGUCUUUUCUCCCUGGCAGAGCAAAGCAGGCCUGACAUUCCCGGAAGAAAAUGACACUGAAAGCAGUCAGACAAAGGCCAGGCAAGCAUUACCAAGGCUUUCUGGAAAAAGCUUUCUUCGUGGACUCACGCCAAUCAUUACUUUACUUACCUUAACUAAUUCAUUUCUUGUUUUUGUUCCUUAAUAAAAGAAAGGCAACUGUCAUUUAUUGAAUUUUUUGUGGGCUAGGAUUGGUAGUGUGCAAGAAAUGGCUUGGCCAAGCUCAGGAGAACCAACUGAACAAUUUCCAGGAAUCCUGCAAGAUAACUGUUAAACACAAGCCAUUAUUAAAAAUUAAAUUAUACUAACAUAUAAUUAAACUGUGUUAGAACAGAGGUAAUAAAUACUCAAAACUCAUCACAUUCUAAUUAUUUUACUACAUUGUACUGUUGUGCUCAUGAACUUAUUUGUAUCUACUGCAUCUGUAUGUUGGAAAUACUGUAAAAUAACUUGCUACUGUGCAUCUCUGUGAAAAUUGGCCGUAGUGGGAGGAACUAGCAAAUGUUACAAAUCUGGGCCGGUUUUAAAAAUUGUUUUCAUCCUUCAAGAUAAUGACAACAGUGGAGAAAAUGUUAAUAAUACAGAUUAAAUUAAAAAUGUAUGUUUGUAGCUGAUACACUAUCAGCUACAAAAAUUUUGGAAAAUAGUAUUUGAAACUCAUUCCUUGAUUUGGUAAAGAAGUUGUAGUUGUUCAUGUCAUUGACCCAUGACCGAAAUUCUGACAUUUUCAUCUCAUUUUUAUCUUUUGAAUGUUAACAAAAAUAUCAAACAACAUAUCUGUGUCACAGCUAUACUCAUUUGUCAGUUGCAGCCAUAGGUUGGCUGUGGAUGCAACAGUUCAACAAUUCCUUGAAAGCAUUUUGUGAGAAUUAACUGGCUAAAUGAAAUUUACAAUAAUGAAUAUAGUAUAUCUCAUUAUUAGUAGUGAAUUAUGCGUGACAUAUCUUUUUAUCAGUAGAAUUUCCAUAAACAUUUAUGAAUACUCACACAUUUUUGAGGAGGGGUAAUUAUUAGCUAUUGUUACCUUUGCUAUGAAUAUACUUCCCUCUUUACCUUGUCUUCCAAGACCCAAUUCAAAGUCUGAUCUACCCCUUCUUUCUGGUCCUAUGUUGCAGCCCUUGUUACCAGUGCAUUAGGGUUUGGGAAGUUCCCUGUACUUUCUAGAAUAAGUAGAGUGGAAGAGCAGGAACCUUGAAUAUUCAGCUCUGAACAAGUUAGAGCUGUGCUCAAUGCUUGAUACCUAGGAGUUGUCCACAAGGUGUGGGUUGAAAGAGAGAGCAAGAACCCUGGGCAGAAGUGGGGAGAAAGAGAAAAGAAAGUGGUCAUGUACGUAGAAAAGGGGCAGUGGGCAGUACUGCUACCUGCCAUGUAGGUUGACAUACUCAGGUGUGUUUGCUCACUGCUGACCAAAUCAAAGGAGGCCAUUUAUUUUGGUAAAAAAGAAAAAGGAUUUAUUCAAAGCUAGCUCUAAGGAAAUGGAGGUGCCCUUUUGCCUCCAACCCCAAGCUCACUGUGUACAGGUGUGAAGGGACAGGGAGAGGGAACACAGAGAUAAUGCACAUCUUCACCCUUGCUUUGUGGCUUCAGGCAUCUUCAGCUCCUUCUCUACUUUCUUGUAGAAAGGAAACUGGGCCCUGGCCUCCAUGGGGCUGGUAUCUGCAAUUUUGUCACUUUUGGGGGGCAGACGAGAGAAGGGCGUGUUGGUUAUGUGCUCAGUAGGAGAUGUGUGGAGAAAUGUAGAGAAGUUGCUUAUCUCUAAAAUUAAAAAAUUAUAAUUUAAAGUUCCAUUUUGUGGUGCCAGUUACAAUAGUAUAGAGCACAUUUUGAUAUUUAAGUUUACUUAGGGUUCCUGCAGUCUGUAUCGAAUGCAGCAAGUUUUGGCUGAUCAAACCACAACACUGAUAAACUGGAUUUGUUUGGAAAUGACCUAGACUUUACAAGAGCAAGACAAGUCACCAGCUAAUCAUAUCACUUAAGGUACUUGACAUGAUCCUGGCUGAGCUCAGCUCAGUGAUUAAAUCCUUCCAGACAGUUUUUUCUUUUUAAGCAACAGUCACUGAACACCUAUUUGAAUGUGGUAGGCACUAGAUUUUCCACAUGUCCUAUGUAAGAGACAACAUCAGAAGCCCAUGAGAACCUGCUUUCCUCCGAGGAACUUGUCCUGUUGUAUAUCCUGGCUGCAAAGCCCCUCCUCACACCCCUGUGGAGGGGCUUGGGUGCCAGUCCUCCUAUUCAAGAAGUGUUUUCAGUCUUCUCAUCCCAGCCAUUAUUGAGUAGCUGGCUGAGUUUCCUGUCCAAGAAGGACACAAUUACCUGCCUCCCACAAUAUACAUCCAGCCAGGAUCAGCUUACUCGUGGCCAGCCAGCCACUCCCCUAAGAGGAGCAGUUGCCGAUAAGCUUGGAAAAAAACAAGUCUCCCUUUAUCUCCUAUUACCUCCAUCACAUUGGUCGUAAAUAAGGUCAGCCGGGAUCUGUCUAGCCUCCAGCCAUGGCCCAGUGUAAAGUAGAUAUGUCAAAGAAAAUGGGAAAAAUCUUUUACACUCCUUCCAUACUUUCUCUCAAGUCACUCAAAGAGCCAAAUGAAAUAGGGUGUGGGUCUUCAUUUCCCAUCGUGCAGUGGAUCCUCCUUUUGUCUUUGUCCUCUGCUAGUUUAUUCUUAAUUCAGAGGCCAGAAGGUUCUAGUUAAAAGGCACACCAGACUAUGUCAAGCCUUUACUCAGAACCUCCAAUAGCUCCAACUGCAAUCAGAAGCUGUGACUGAAGACUCUUGUAUCCCAACCCCUUGUGAAUCUGAUUUCCUACUGGUUCCUUCUCCUCAGCAGCCUCAAUAAUCUUGUUCCUUGAGCUCAUCACCCCACCCUCACCCCCCACCCAGAGCCUUUACUUUCCUUGUUCCUUCUGCCUGGGACAUUCAUCUCCCAGCUAGCCACAAGGCUUCCUCCCUCACUUCCUUUACUCUGUGUGAACCUCACCUUGUCAGUGAAGUCUACUAUGAUGUGCACAGAAGACCUUACCUUUCCCUCUGCUGCUGGUCCUCAUCGCCCUGUUCUAUCAUUCCCAUGGGAUUUACCAUCUUCUAGCAUAACAUAAUUUAUAUAUUGAAUCUGUUUAUAGGUUUUCUCUCCCCAGUAUAAAUGUAAGCUUUAAGAAGCCAUAGAGGGGCCAGGGAUUUAGCUCAGUGGUUCCGGUGCCUGCCUCGCAAGCACAAGGUCCCAAGUUCAAUCCCCAGGACCAAAAAAAAAAAAAAAAAGAAGGCAUAGAUUACGUCCUUUUAGUUUGCUGAUGCAUCUCAAAAAUGUCUAAAACACGAUAGAUAAUAGAAGCUCAAUAAAUAUUUGUCAUAUGAUGUAUACUUCUUAAAUUGAGGAAUCUAGGGGCACCUCAAAGUUAAUGAACAUUGUGGAGGCAUCUGGGACUAAAAAUCAGUUUCCUCCAUGCUAGAACCCACAUCCAUCAUCUAAUCCUCAUUUCCUUUUUAUCAACAACAGCACUUAGGGGAAAAUACCAGAGAGUUCCCUAUGGAGCUGAGUAGAUAGAUUUUUUUUUAAUAUUUAUUUGUUCAUCAAGGUCAAGGAUGCCAUAUGAAAACUCUGUAAGUAUUUUUUUCACAUUAAUACAUUUUCCUGAAAAUGUCCGUGAAUUUGGAUGAUUUUAUAUUCAUAUGCCAAUACUUGAAGAAUAAAUCUCAAACAAGGAGUCUUUGUUGUUAGUAGUGGUGUCUGUGGAGGUGGAGACAGGGAGGUGCAGUUGCGGAGGAGAAAUAUAGAAACAUUAGUUUAAUCAUGUGGGCUACUCUGUUAAUAAAGCUAGUGCCUCCUUUAUGACAAGGAGCUCUGGAAAACCAAAUAGAAAAUUGCUUUCCUUUAAAGAGAUCUACUGAGUCAUCGUCUGAAUCCCCUCUCUGCUACUUCUCACUUGGACUGCUGGUGAUUUUACUCCUAAUUUAUCUAAAGGGAGCUUAUGAAUCAUCAUCAAGAUUAAUUUCCAUUAGCUCCUCUAUCACUAAACACCGAAGUAACCUGUUGUAGUUAUCUAUUGCUGGAUAAUAAAUUACCCCAAAAUUUAGUACGUUAAAACAGCAACCAUUUCAUUUGCUUACAACUCUGUGCUUCUGUAAUUUAGAGUUCAGCUGGGUGGUCUUCCUGUUCCAGGCAAUGCUCACUGUGAUCACUCAUUGGCUGUAUGCAUCUGGUGGCUGGGACCAGCUGAAACUGAUGAAUCUGCCAAGUUGUAAAGCAAGCAGCAGUCCAUUGUAAGAUGAAAGUGAGGCACCGGGGACUCAACCAACACUCAAAGACUAGUGGGCAUGUUUAGGUUGAGCAAGCAGGGAGCUCAGAUCCCUCAUGGCAUCCACCACAGUUACCAGCACAUCUCCCUCAGCAGACAUAAGGCCAUUGGAAGGAGAAGAAAAAAAAAUGGUUUAGGUAAGUUUACAUUUGGCUUGGAUCAGUGUGAGAAUACAGCCUGAAAAUGAAAAACCACCAUAUAACAACCACACUCAAGAGUGACUUUGAAAGAAAAUGGGGAAAAAAAGAGAAUGAAAAUCUUAUCACUGAGUGGAGCUAUAAUUAGAGCAUCUGGCCACUAAUGUUAUGGAAAGACAAGUGGUCCAAGCUGAGUAUGACUUAAUGGAUUGGUUCGAGGUCUAGAAGGAAAAUGACUGGAAAAUUGGAGACAAAGAGGUCUGGGGUGGAGCCACGUGGCCAGACCUACAGGAGUGGGCAUGAAGUAUGCGCAUGUUAAUGUGACAUGUUAAUGUCCACUGGAAAGCAUCCACUACAGAAGUGACAUUGGACAAUUUACAUUAGCUAGCCUUCAUCAUUAGUUCCCUCAGAACAGGCUUGAUGGACUGUCAAAAGAAAUGGCCAUACUGGUGAAAAAGAGCUUCCAUAUGGACCCAAAUGCAAAGACUUCCACUGAAGAAGACUGAUGCAGAUAUCGCCUUCUCUGAAUGUCCAAACUGCUGACAACAAGGACCAAUCCUGAGCCCCAGUAUGCUUCCUUGACAAUUUGUCCUCAUAUCAAUAGACACCUAUUCUGAGUGUGAGUCUGCCUUUCAUGUCUGCAGAGCUUUAUGUAGCAACAUUAUCCAGUGGUUUAUGUGGAAACUGACUCACAGCGCAGGCAUCAGGAAUUUAGGGUUCAGAGCCACUCUGGCCCACACCUGGAGAGUUUCCUUCCUCCUGGGAUUCCCAGGGAAAAGCAUGGCUUUCUCUAGACUCUCAGGUGUAAGUCCUUCCUUUCUGCUUUAGAGGCUCCACAUUAGGAAGAUCAGGAUCAGAGCCUCACUCAAACACUCACCCACGCCUAACAUUCUUACUCUCUCCAGUCUUUCUCCUUCCUGCCUUAUCCACUUAUCUCUUCAAGUCUGAAAAUUACUUUAACAUUGUAUCUGUGUCUUCUCAAGUCUAUGGUUCAAAGUAUAAAUCCUGUGGUUUGCUAGUCCUCUAAUAUUGGCUUUAGAUAUUUAAACCCUAGUUUCUGGAACUCUCAUCAAACUAACUUCCUUCCUUUCACUUCUCCUCAUUGUCUUCCUCCCUCUUGUCUUCUACCUUUGAGUUCUAAAAUCUCAAAAAAGCCUGGUCCUUGCAAUAAGAAAACACUGUCUAUUGUGUGUUAAAAAUUCCAUUCAGCAAACCAGUUGACUUAUUUGAACCAGGAUAUAUAAAAAUUUUUUUGAACUUCAGACAUAUAUCACAGUCUCUUCCCAGCUGAGAAUUUAUCCUGUUCUAGGCCCAUGAAACAUUUCCUAAGGGUGAUCAGUUAUUAAGCCAUAAUAAAAAGUUUAAUACAUUCCAUCAUUCAGGCCACAAUCUUCGAUCACUAUGCAGAGAGAUUUAACAUUAAUGCCAAAACUUAAAAGAAUAAAAUCCCACCACACUCUUACAUAGCUUUUGGAUCAAAGAGAAAUCAAAAGAGUGAUUGCAGGUUAUUUAUAAAACAAUGAUAAGAAUACUACAUAAGUGAGGUGGCCAAGAUUGUGCAUAGGAACAAUUAGUUUUAGAGGCUUUUGUAAUUAAACAAAGAAAAGAAUACAAAUAAACUGUUCAAGUAGAAGUUAAAAACAGAGCCAACAAAUACGACUAUGGCAAAUAAAAGAGGAAAUUGAUAAAGACUAAAGUAGAAAUUAGCAGUUAGAAGAAAGCCAGUAAAUUUGAUAGAUAAAUAAAUAAAAUGGUUCUUUAAAGUAUUAGAUAAAAAAGAAAAACUUUUUCCAAAGCCAAUCAAGAAAAACAAGGGGAAAAACCAAGCAAUUGGAGUGAGGACAGAUAUAUAACCACAGCUAGCAGAGAGAUUUAUGUUUUAUUAUGUAGAUUAUUAUGCUGAACUCUACUAAAACUUAUGAAGUCUGGGAAAAUGAAUGAUUUUCCAAUAAAAUAAAUUAUCAAAAUUUGUUAAGGAAUAAAAUGUAAAUAUACUCAUGAUCAUAAAAGAAAUUUUAAGAGUUUUCGGAGCUCUCCAAAAAUAUGCAUAGCUUUUACAAGCCAGAUCCAAUAGAACUUCACUGAGCAUAUAAUUGUCAUAGAAUUUAAACUGUUGCAGAAUUUCACUUCAUUUUACUAAAUUAGCAUAGUCUUGAUCUCUAAAUGUGUAGCAAGAAUCUACUAUAAUCUCAGAUGUGAAUAUAUUUCACGAAUUUUAAGUAAAGUAUUAGCAAAACAAAUCAAUAGUAUAACAAAAGAAUAAUGUGGCCUGGGAUUUAGCUCAGUGGUUUCGGUGCCUGCCUCGCAAGCGCAGGGUCCCGAGUUCAAUCCCUGGUACCCCCCCCCCCAAGGAAAGAAAACAAAAGAAUAAUGUAAUAUGAGUAAAGUUUUUCUGAGAAUGGAGGCAUAGUUCAAUAAUGGAAAAUCUCAGACAUUAGUGGAAAAUAAAUUGAUGCAGCCUUUUAGGGAGGGCAGUUUGAUUAAAUUCUAUCAAAUUUAGGAAUGCAUUGAAUCUGUGCCUUAGUCCCCUUAUAGUUACCUGUACUUAAAGAAAUAUGGGUACAAGAUGUUUGCACAAGAACCCUCUUUUUUUCUUGAUAGUGAGACAGAGAGAGAGACAGACAGACAGAGAGACAGAGACAGAGAGAGGAAACAACUUAAAUAUCCAUUAAUAAGAGAAUGACUAAGUCACAGUGUUACACUAAAAAGUACAAGGUAGUAUUUUAAAAGAAUGGGUUACUCUGUACCAAAACAGAAAAAUCUCUGCUACAUUAAGUAAACAAGACAACAAAACCAAACCAUUACUGGAGACCUCUCAGUAGGUUCCAGUCUCCUGCCCAGUAUACGAUGCAGAGCUGAAGAAAGACUCAAAAACAGAAUUAAAGAAAAAAGUGGGGAGCCAGGAUGGCCAGUGCUGAGCAACCAGGAAGGCCAUGGUCACUGAUUUUUAUUGGUAAUCAAAUUGGGAUAAAGGGUAACUAUGUGCUAAGAUGUGCAGUUGUGCAGUUGCUAUGAAUACUAAUGCAGGUAAGGCUUGUAAAGGAAAAGAUAAAGCAUUCUUGAAGUAAGAUCAGAACAGAGAAAAUAUAGGGUUGUAAUUAGUACCUUGUCCUUCUAGUUAAGAAGGUUUUAGUUGUGAGAAUGGAAUUUGGGUGCGAGUUACUUUGACCUCAGCUACUAUAUUAUCUCAUAUUGAGCCCCAUAGCUUCACAGAACAUUUCUCUGGUCUCUGCUGGGGCCGUUAGUGGGAAGGUCAUGCUAACCUGUGCGCUACUGCAGUGCUUAGGAGGUGCUUCUAUGAGUCACAUAAGCUUCAGACUCUCUUCUUAAAAUGGGCCAAUUGAGGGGUUAACUCUUUAUAGCCUGCACUGCUUACAGCCCACUUUGGGCAUAAUCAGUAGGGUGGCUCCCUACAAACCCCAAAUAUAUGAACUAAAUAAUAUUAUAUAAUGAUCCUAUUAAUGUAAAAAAAACUGUAGAGCCACAAAUGUGUGCACUUACCUGAGUAUGUAUAAAUGAAGAUAGCUCUAUCUAUAGAAGAUAACUCAAGAGGUGAGGAUGGGGUUGAUGACAUGGUACUGGGUGGCAAAGAGAUGUCAUUUUUUUUCCAUAUAGGUCCUGCAUUGUUUCACAUUUUCACAAUGAAGCUAUGCUCAGGGGUCACUUGUGUAACUAAAAUAGUAAAGAGUCAAAUAACACAUUUUGUAAUAAUUCAUUCCAUCAAUAAUCAAAAGAGGAAAAAAUCCUUAUACUUGAUGGUUUCCAGAAAAGCUUCUACCUCCUGCUAAUUCUUUUUAAAACUAAUUUUUUUGGGGGGUACCAGGGUUCGAACUCAGAACCUUGUGCUUGCGAGGCAGGCAGUGGAACCACUGAGCUAAAUCCCCAGCCCCUUAAAACUAAUCUUAAGAAAGAAAAAAGAAACUUUUAAAGUAAGAUCAAGAAUAUCAAGACAAUGAUUAUCAUCAUACUUAACAGUGGAGGGUUAAAGUAGUACCUAAUAAAGUUGGGCAGAUGGACUGGGAGGUCAGUAAUAUAAUUAUUGAACACUUAACAAUUUUGGUCAAUUCAAUUCCAUAGGAAAAGAAGAAACAGUAACCUUGAGAGAGGAAAGGAGUGUGGUGGGGGGAGAGAGAGAGUAUUAAUGUGUUAAGAAGGAAUAUAAAAUUGUUACUGUUUACAGGUAUGAUAAUCUCCAGGGAAAACCCAAGAGGUUCAACAAUAAAAGAGCACUUGCAUACGCCAAGGGCUUCCUGGCUGCCAGCCCUCUGCUCAGUCUUCAUAGACACAGUCUCAUUUAAUUCCCAAGAACCCUACGAUGCACAUUUAUCGUUUCUGUUCAACAGACAAGGAAAACUAUGUGCCUCAAAGGUUUAGGAGGCAGUGAGUGGUGAAGCAGCUGAGCCCAGAUUUAACCUGAGCUCUGAAUCUGGAGCUGGUUGAGAUCCUGCAGCCUGAAUGCACACUGUUUAAAAGCCACAGGGUAUCUUUUAAUAAGAAGACAACUAUAAUAGAGAAAAAGAUAUAAUAAUAAACACUUUAAAGUGGUGGUGUUUAUAUAGAAUAUCAAAAGCUAAUUUGGAAAUAUCAGGAAAAAUUACGUUCUAUGUGCCAUGGCGACCAGAAUUAUGUUAACAGCACACUUAAAAAUACCAGUAAAAGAAAACUUCAAAACUUUACCGAGAGACAAAGAAAAAACUUGAAUACACAGAGACAUGCUCAUCUGUAACUUGCAAGUCAAUAUUGAAUAUAUUUCAGUUGUACUCAAACCAACCCACAAAUAUAAAUUCUUAACAAAUUAGCAGUUUUGUCAGAACCUGACCAAACUACUCUUUUAAGAAAAAUGUUUAAUUUCAAGAGCUCAUUGUAUUAAACAAAUCAGAAAUACGUCACAUAAAACAUUUCCUCCAGAAGUAAACACUGUAAACAUUGUUAUUUGAAGCCCCCCUCAGAAUCCUGCUCUUUUAGCAUAAUAAAGACAAAUGACAUGCAGAGAAUGGCUUAGAGUAGGUCAUGAGGGCAUAUUACUAAGUUUUUAGGAAUUUUGUGAACUGGUUGAUAAACAUAGGCAAUAUGAAGAUCAUAUUAUAUAAACUAACAAUAAGUUAUUUAAAAAGCGUAAGUAAAACAUUUUUAAAGUUCAUUUCUUUCGAAUUAUUUUAUUAAAUGAUGUUAGCUAUGUGUGCUUCUAAGGUACUUUACAUGUAUUUUGUCUGAAUGAUGGACAUGCUAAACAGUGGUCUGCUGUUGUUCUCCUCCCAAUUCUGUGAGCAGUGACAUCAUGUUAGCAGGUUGCAACUGACUAUGGUGGGGAUACUUUGACCAUGGAGGGUGGCUGUGUUUGUCAGCUUUCUGUUACUAUAACAAAUGGCUAGAAUAAUCAAUUUCAAAAGAGAAAGGUUUAUUCGGCUUAUAGCUUUGGAAGUUUCACCCCAGGAUCAGAUGGCCCUGUUGCUUUUAGGCCUGUGAUGGCACAUCGUGGGGGGAUCCUGAGGUGGAGAAAAAACACCCAUGCAUGCCUGGAAGGCAGGAAAGAUCAGGAUCCCACCAUCCCCUUCAAGGGCACACCCCCACUGACCUGAAGACCUUCUCUCAGAACCCACUCCUUGGAGUUUCCACCGCCUCCCAGCAGCACCAAGCAGAGGCCCAAGCCUUUAACGCAUGGGCCUGUGGGGGCCACUCCAGAUCCAAACUGUAGCACUGACAAAUGCUACUGACCACAGUCUUUUCAGAGCUGGUUAUUAAACAUUGAACUCAGUAGCAGGAGUCAUAUGUAUUUUAUCUGUGUGUGUAUGCACGUGGUUCAAUAAAAGAGGGGAAAAAAAUCAUAUCUCACCUCCCUACUUAAAAGUAGAAUAAAUGAGGAUGACAAAUACAACUUGUUUCAUAAUCAGUACUAAUGAGGUAGAAAAGGAUUCCUUGCGGCAAAGAACUUAAAAGAGUUAUCACACUUAAACAUGUCAUGAAUUUUUCUUUUAUAAAAGACAGUGUUUUCAAUCUACUAAUCUUUUCCAGGAUGAAAGUAGGGUCAGUAAAAUGCACUUCAAAUUAUUUGGAAAAAACAGAUAUGCUUGUCUUUUCAAGGCACAAAUUACAUUGUAACAAAGAGUGGGGGAAUAACAGCCUUUUGGGAAUAACAGCCUUUCGAGAUAAACUCAUGCUUUGGAGAGAGUAUGCUGGAAAUGGGCAGAAGAUAUACCUCUAGAGUUGUGUGAUUUUGGGGGCUGAAAAUGAUGUAAGUGAACAGUCUAUAAAAAGACUAUAUCUGCUUACUUUAAAAACUUGGAAAUAGGAUAUUCUACUGUGCUUCAGUCUUCUGAAAUAAACUAACUUGCUAACAAUGUGGAAAGAUAAAAGCUUCCAAUUAUUUGGCAGAAACAACCAGCAGCCAUCAGGAAUAAUGGAAAUUGUUAGCUGAAUCUCAACAAAGACAUUUGCAUAUUGGUGAACAAAACUGCAAAUGAGUAUCACUAUUACUGGAGCAUAGUCUAUAAAAAUACUGCUUUCAUUUGGUGUCUUGCGUGAUGGUGAAGCUGCUUUUCACUUAUUUCAAAACCAAUUACUGGAAUAAUCUGAGUUUAGAAGGAGAAUUGGGAGGGGCUGAGUAUCACAGAGCAUUGAGUCAAGAUUGUAAAAUAAAGAAAUAACAUUUACCUUUGUUAAAACACAUUUUUAAGUGAGAGAAAAAUAUCCUGUACCUUAACAAUGAAGUUUAAAAGUAUUUACUUGAUAUUUAAAUUUUCCUUUUAAAAUUCCGCAGUGUGGAAUUGGACCGGCAGCAUCCCCGGGGAGCUGGUUAGAAAUGCAGCCUCUCCUGCGACUGCAUGACAGCCCCCACCUAACUGCUUCGAGGAAUCGUGUGCAUUGACAAGUUCUGGCACAAGCACCAUCGGGGCUACUUUGCUGUUUGGUGGGUGGGCAGUUGAUGGGGUUGGGAGUGGUCAAUUUGUCAGGUUGGAGAUUUCAAAGACGGGUAAUUCUGGACAUUUUGAAUGGAUAGUAAUCUUAAAACAAUUGUCAGAAGUAGAUGGAGACUCGCUGCAUAUAAUUCCCAACCCUACUGUAUAAAAGCACUAAAUAGCAGACAGUUCUAUUACGGUAUUUCUUGUAGCCUCCUGGUUAGUUCUUACAAGAUGGUUGUUAUAAAAGCCUGAGCUGGUGCUGCCCUCUCUCCCUGGCUUCCUGUUUCUAGAUGUGGUCUCUUCCUCCCACAUUGUCUCCGCCAUCACCAACUGCCAUGGGGCAGCCAGGGUUGCUGCCAUAGUGUUUGGACUUUCAGCCUCCAAACUGGAAGUGAAAAACCCUCUUUAUAAAGUUAGCCUGCCUCAGGUAUUUUUUAUACUAGUGAGAAAAAGACCAGUGCAUGAGCUAAUAUAUGACAUUAACUUUUUAUUUUACUCUUUUUAAAUUUUAUAUAUUUAUUUAUUUUUGGUACCAAGGAUCGAACUCGGGUCCUUGCGCUUGGGAGGCAAGCGACGGAACCACUGAGCUAAAUCCCCAGCCCUAUAUGACAUUCACUAUGGGCCAGGUGCUAUCCUAAAUUCUCCCUGUGAAUUAAUUAUUUAAUCCUCUUUCACCCUAGGAGGUGGAUCUAUUGUUAUCCUCAGUUUACAGCCAAGGAAGCUGAAGUACAGAGAAAUUAUUUGCUCAGAGUCAGAGCUAAUAAAUAGUGAAGACAGGAUUUGGACAUAGUCCAGCUCCACAGCCUAAGCUUUUAACCAUUAUGCUGCACUGCACGGGUAUAAAAUAAAUAAAUAAAUAAAUAAAUAAAUAAAUUCCUAUAUAUUAUGGAUGCACCCUCAAAUAAUUUUAUUGAUGGAAAAGUGAUAAAAAGG